AAAAAAGCCAUCUGCAAUCUCCUACUCCUCGUUCUUCAGCUUUGAGACAGUUGAUUUGGUUGGACACUAAAGAGCUUAGCCAGAGAGAUUUUAAAGGACAGGAGAGGGGAAUAAGGACUCUUAAAUUCUGUCAUCCACGUGUAUCUUAAGGCCAGGUUCCACAACUCCAGAUGGAUUUCAGUCAGGACCGGUGAAGAAGCUCCAGUGACAAGUCGCUUCUGUGAGAUUCAUGCUCCAGGUUUUACUGCCCCUUAUCCAGAGAAGACUUUGGUGACUGAAUCUGCUGGAGACUGAAGGAUUUGACUCCAGAAGUGGACCUCAGAGGGCAGGAUGGGGGAGCCCCAUCCACUCGGGCUCACUAAUCCCUGUGUGUCUUAAGGCCAGGUUCCACAAUUCCAGGGCCAGUUUUCUCCACCCCAUAUGGAUUUCAGCCAGGAUGGGUGGGAGAAGCUCCAGUAACAAUCAACUUCCAUGAGGGGAAUGCUCCAGUUUCCUCCUCCAGACACCCGGAGGAGUUUUUGGUGAUGCUGUUGAAUGCAUUGUCCUGGCCUUGAGGAACAUCCCCUUGCAGCAUGGGCAUAGUCAAGUCAAUCCCCAGUCUUGCCCCACCAGUUAGAGAUUGAACUGUGGACCAUGUUGCCACCACAAAGGGAAGGAUUUGUGUGUGUGUGCCUUUGUAUGUACGUAUAAAGGGGCUAAGUCUUUGGGGAAGGAUAGUUAAGACAAUGCUGCCAUUCUAGGUAUGGAGGCUGAUUCUGGAAACAGGGCCUGGAGCUCUGUGCAGGGAACUGGUUCUGUCUGACUUGAUUGUGGGACUGAGAAGACCUAGGGCCCUAAAUUCUAUACCUGGGUUAAACCUCCCUGCACUCACAGUCCUCUCUGCAGGGUCAACCUACACAUUCUCAGGCCCUGGAAAAGGAACCUGACUUGGCCUGAUAGCGGAGGCUUCUGGGAGUUUAGUGUCCAGAGUCAGGCAGUAAGAUGAUCAGUGAAUCUACUCCAUUCUUCUCUAAAAAACAGAGUAGUGAGAUUGAGUUGUCAAAGGUGUGGACAAGGUGCACGGAGUGCCAGCAUUGUACCCAAAACUGAACUUUGUUCAGUUUGGAUUGAACCUCCAGUCCAGGGACUACAGGCACCUCUUGGGCUAACAGAUUUGGAGGGGGUGGCUAAGUAUUAGUAGGGCAGAGUUUUUGCGACUGAUUGUUUAGGUCUGUAGACUUCACGUCUCCUGGUGGUAAGGUCAUU